AGGUAGGAAUACCCCCUGAACUU
rnacentral:rRNA from 1 species